GGACACCAGUGAGAUACUGUCAUCUUCAUCAGGAAAAUUUCUUUUGGAAAUUUUGAGGAACCGUACACACAAUGACAACUCAACACUGACUAGUCAACCUUCUCAGCAUGUGGACUUGAUCAUACGGAAUGUGAGUCUUGUUUCUACAGGAAAUCAUCUUAAUGCUGCCCGAGGCAAAGGUGAGAAAUGCUGAGUAGGCUCUUCAAAUGGCCACCAUAAGGGUUUU
rnacentral:lncRNA from 1 species